UUCCGGGCUGCCGGAAGCGGGCAGGACGCGGCGCGCAUGCGCCCUGUUCUACGGUGGCCUGGAGGCGGCGGCGGCUGAGGCCCAAACGGCCCGGGGCGGGCUGGAUGCCCGCGGGCAGCGCGGCGCUCACUCGGGCUGCUCGGGCACUCGGGCUGGGCUGCCCCGGGGCGCUGCUCUCCUGGCCGAAGCCCUGGUUCUGCUGCGCUGCCCUUCCCGUCUCCCGGUGCCGGCUGCUGGUGAGUGGGGCUGCCCGCUGUGUGCACGCGAAGCCGGGUGGCGGUGCUGCGCGCGUCCUCGUCCCUCUGCCUGUGCACACGUGGCUGUGCCGGGCCAGCACGGCGGCGGGGGACAUGGCUGAGCAGAGGUACUGCGUGGACUACGCCAAGCGCGGCACGGCCGGCUGCAAGAAGUGCAAGGAGAAGAUCGUGAAGGGGAUGGUGCGCAUCGGGAAAAUCGUUCCCAACCCUUUCACGGAGUCCGGCGGGGACAUGAAAGAGUGGUACCACGUCAAGUGCAUGUUUGAGAAGCUGGAGAAGGCCCGGGCCACCACCAAGAAAAUUGAAGACAUCACGGAUUUGGAAGGGUGGGAAGAGCUGCAGGAUGGGGAGAAAGAACUCAUCACCAACCUCAUCUCAGAAGCUACAUCCAAGGCUGCAAGCACGCCGAAGAAAAAAGCAACAGUUCAGGCUAAGCUCACUGCCACUGGACAGAUAACCAGUCCCCAGAAAGAUCCCUUGGCUAAUGUCAAUCCGAAGAAGUUCUCUGGCUUCACAGCCAAGCCAAAGAAUUCUGAAGAAGUGUCUGCAAACUCCUCCCACAACUCGAGCCUGUCUGCAAAGAAAUGUGACCCGAAGCACAAAGACUGCUUGCUGCGAGAGUUCAGGAAGCUCUGUGCCAUGGUUGCUGACAAGCCCAGUUACAAUGUGAAAACACAGAUCAUCCAGGAUUUCCUGAAGAAGGGAACUGGAGGAGAUGGUUUUCAUGGUGACGUAUACCUGACCAUUAAGCUACUGUUACCAGGCAUCAUUAAAAUUGUUUACAACUUGAAUGAUAAGCAGAUUGUAAAGCUGUUCAGCAGAAUUUUUAACUGCAGCCAAGAAGAAAUGGUCCGGGACCUGGAACAGGGAGACGUUUCCGAGACGAUACGCCUCUUCUUUGAACAGAGCAAGUCCUGUCCUCCAGCAGCCAAAAGCCUCCUGACCAUCCAAGAGGUAGAUGAGUUUCUCAUCCAGCUAUCAAAGCUUACUAAGGAAGAUGACCAGCAAAGUGUACUGCAAGAUAUCACUCGCAGAUGUACAGGCAACGACCUGAAAUGCAUCAUCAGGCUAAUUAAGCAUGACUUGAAAAUGAACGCUGGCGCAAAGCAUGUGUUGGAUGCUUUGGAUCCAAAUGCUUACGAGGCAUUCAAAGCAUCACGCAACCUCCAGGACGUGGUGGAGCGAGUCCUGAGGAACCAGCAGGACGCUUUGAAGACGCCAGGUCUGAAGCGAAUGCUCAGUGUGCAGGCCUCUCUGAUGACCCCAGUUCAGCCUAUGCUGGCUGAAGCCUGCAAGUCAAUUGAGUAUGCCAUGAAGAAGUGCCCAAAUGGCAUGUAUGCAGAGAUUAAGUAUGACGGCGAGCGGGUGCAGGUCCAUAAAAACGGAGAUCACUUCAGCUACUUCAGCCGAAGCCUCAAACCUGUCCUUCCUCACAAAGUAGCCCACUUCAAGGACUUCAUCCCCCAGGCUUUCCCUGGUGGGCACAGUAUGAUCCUGGAUUCAGAAGUUCUUCUAAUUGACAAUAAAACUGGCAAGCCACUUCCUUUUGGAACUCUUGGUGUACAUAAGAAAGCUGCUUUCCAAGAUGCCAACGUCUGCUUGUUUGUGUUUGACUGCAUCUAUUUCAACGACAUCAGCCUGAUGGACAGGCCUCUGUGUGAGCGUCGUAAAUUUCUGCAUGAUAACAUGGUUGAAAUCCCCAACCGGAUCCUGUUCUCAGAGAUGAAGCACGUCACAAAAGCUUCAGAUCUGGCAGAUAUGAUCACCCGAGUCAUCCGUGAGGGACUGGAGGGACUGGUGUUGAAAGACAUAAAGGGUAAUUAUGAACCAGGAAAACGGCACUGGCUGAAAGUGAAAAAGGACUACCUCAAUGAGGGUGCAAUGGCUGACACAGCAGACUUGGUGGUGCUGGGAGCUUUCUAUGGGAAAGGCAGUAAAGGUGGGAUGAUGUCCAUCUUCCUCAUGGGCUGCUAUGACCCCAAGAGUGAGAAGUGGUGUACUGUGACCAAGUGUGCCGGUGGCCACGACGAUGCCACCUUGGCCCGUCUGCAAACAGAGCUGGAUAUGGUGAAGAUCAGCAAGGUGAGAUGGGCUCUGGCAGGGGGCAGAGGAAUGUUCAGCAAAGGACUUGGUAAAAGCUUCUUCCUGCUGAGCUGCCUGCUGGUUACAUACAGAAUUCAAGCGCUCUGCCAGGAACAAACAGCUCAAUUAGAGUUAAAUCAGGUAAAUUCUCCAUAAACCUAUCUGGGAGAAGUGAGGGGUAGGUGUGGCCAUCCCCUAACGAUGAGACGCUGCUUGAGAUUUGUAUUCCAGGCACCGUCUGGUUCCUGCUGAGACGGUUUUAUCGGGUGAAGCAGAACAAGUGUCUUUUCUUGGCAUGUUGCAGUUGGUGAAGACGGUCACUAGAUGGGGCUGUAGGUGAGAAAUGCCUGUCAGGCUGUGGUCUUGCUAAGUAGCUGGAAACGUUGAACUUCUUUGUGAGACAUAUGAAAGUGCAAAACCUUAUUUUUUUCAAGAACUAGCAUACAAACAGCCAUGGCUUCUAGGUUACAGAAUCCUAAAAAUGUGUGGUGGUUUCAUCUGAAUUACAACUGGAGCAAUGUAGUGGUGUUAUGUAUGGUAUGACAACAGGCAACAGCUGUGUUGCACGUCAUCUUUUGUGAUUCUCUACAGACAAGAAAUUGCUGCAGGUACAGCAAGUUUAAUCCAUACAAAGGCAAUUCAAUACAUAUUUGUCAACUUACUACUUCGUUACCUUUCAGCAGCCUCCUUUGUGGGACUAGGUUCAUGUAUGAUCGUAAGUGUUAUCUUGUUUUUGUGCUCUUAAUAGGAUCCUAGUAAAAUCCCAAGCUGGCUGAAAAUUAACAAAAUCUACUACCCAGACUUCAUUGUCCCAGACCCAAAGGUGCAUUUGAGACUAAGAGCUUCAUGAGGAAAUCAGACCUGCAGCACCUCUGGGAAACGUUUUUGUACAUUAAAUCCCUCCCAGAAGUGAACUUACUUAAAAGAAGCAGUUAGAGCACAGUUAAAUCGGUUGAAGCAGAGCUCUAACCCAGAAGUUGCCAUUGUUCUUACGCUAAAUUUACCAGUAUGCUUUGUGCCAUUUGUGUGUGAUAGGAUACAAGGAAAUUGGCAAUAUGUAUUAAUGGAAGAUCUCAUGAUUCAUUGGAAUAAUUAAAAAAAAAAAAAAAAGAAUAGAAGCUUUCCUAAUUAAGGUGACCAGGAAGUAUACAUGGAACUCUGU